rnacentral:rRNA from 1 species
AACGAACGCUGGCGGCAUGCCUAACACAUGCAAGUCGAACGAGACCGCCGGGUCUAGUUGCGCACGGGUGCGUAACGCCUGGGAACUUGCCCUUAGGUUCGGAACAAUUCCCCGUAAGGGGUGCUAAGACCGGUUAAUGUCAUCCCACCAAAGAGUUAUCGCUUUUGGCUGGGGCCGCGUUGGCUUAGCUAGUUGGUAGGGUAAAAGCCUACCAAGGCGACGAUCCAUGGCUGGUCGGAUACCAUGAUCAGGCACACUGGAACUGCGACACGGCCCAGUCUCCGACGCGGGGCAGGAGUGGGGAAUAUUGUGCGCUGGGGGAAGGCGUGAUCCAGCAAUGCCGCGUGAGUGAUGAAGGGCUUAGGAUUGUACAGCUGUUUUUCCCGGGAUGAUAAUGACGGUACCGGGAGAAUAAGCUCCGGCUAACUCCGUG